rnacentral:tRNA from 1 species
ACUAUUUUGGCAGAUUAGUGUAUUAAAUUUAGAAUUUAUGGAUGUAAUUUUAUUACAAAUAGUA